rnacentral:rRNA from 1 species
AUGGUCGUCCUCGUCGCGGCGACGGCGCAGGCGGUGUGCGACAUGGACAACGACGACUUCAUGGCGUGCCAGCCGGCGGCGGCGGCGACGACGGACCCGCAGCCGGCGCCGUCGGAGGCGUGCUGCGCGACGCUGGGGAAGGCGGACCUGCGGUGCCUCUGCUCCUACAAGAACUCCCCCUGGCUCAGCCUCUACAACAUCGACCCCAAGCGCGCCAUGGAGCUGCCGGCCAAGUGCGGCCUCACCACGCCGCCCGACUGCUAG